GCUCUCCGUUACUGGCUGCUCAGGAGGCUUCUCUAGUUUGAUGUCGAUCAUGUCUUCUUUGCUCUUCUCUGGUGUGCUGUCCAUCCCGGGUAAGGCAGCAGCCACACGACGGAAUAGCUGUUUCACAUUGUAUCCAGUCUUUGCACUGGUCUCAAUAAACAUCACGUUCAGCUCUUUGGCUCUCUGUUCCCCUUCUUCUGUAGUGAUUUGCCUCUUGUCUGCCAGGUCAGUUUUGUUUCCCACCAACAUGAUGAUGACGUCACUUCCCC
rnacentral:lncRNA from 1 species